CCUACGGGGGGCAGCAGUGGGGGAUAUUGCACAAUGGGGGAAACCCUGAUGCAGCGACGCCGCGUGUGGGAAGACGGUCCUCUGGAUUGUAAAGUUCUUUAAUUGGGGACGAAAAAAAUGACGGUACCCAAGGAAUAAGCCCCGGCUAACUACGUGCCAGCAGCCGCGGUAAUACGUAGGGGGCAAGCGUUGUUCGGAAUGACUGGGCGUAAAGGGUGUGUAGGCGGUUUAGCAAGUUAGAAGUGAAAUACCUAGAGCUUAACUCAGGUGCUGCUUCUAAAACUGCUAGACUUGAGUGCAGUAGA
rnacentral:rRNA from 1 species